rnacentral:rRNA from 1 species
CGCCGCGGUUAUACGAGAGGCCCAAGUUGAUAGGCACUCGGCGUAAAGAGUGGUUAAAUAUAAUUUCAAACUAAAGCCGAACUCCUUCAAGACUGUUAUACGUGUUCGAAGAAAGAAGCCCAGUAACGAAAGUAGCUUUAAUACCUUGAAGCCACGAAAGCUGAGAAA